rnacentral:rRNA from 1 species
UACGUAGGGGGCAAGCGUUGUCCGGAAUCAUUGGGCGUAAAGAGCGUGUAGGCGGCCCGGUAAGUCCGCUGUGAAAGUCCAGGGCUCAACCCUGGGAUGCCGGUGGAUACUGUCGGGCUCGAGUCCGGAAGAGGAGUGUGGAAUUCCUGGUGUAGCGGUGAAAUGCGCAGAUAUCAGGAGGAACACCAAUGGCGAAGGCAGCACUCUGGGACGUGACUGACGCUCAUGUACGAAAGCGUGGGGAGCAAACAGG